rnacentral:rRNA from 1 species
UGGGGAAUAUUGCACAAUGGGUGAAAGCCUGAUGCAGCAACGCCGCGUGAGCGAUGAAGGCCUUCGGGUCGUAAAGCUCUGUCCUCAAGGAAGAUAAUGACGGUACUUGAGGAGGAAGCCCCGGCUAACUACGUGCCAGCAGCCGCGGUAAUACGUAGGGGGCUAGCGUUAUCCGGAAUUACUGGGCGUAAAGGGUGCGUAGGUGGUUUCUUAAGUCAGAGGUGAAAGGCUACGGCUCAACCGUAGUAAGCCUUUGAAACUGGGAAACUUGAGUGCAGGAGAGGAGAGUGGAAUUCCUAGUGUAGCGGUGAAAUGCGUAGAUAUUAGGAGGAACACCAGUUGCGAAGGCGGCUCUCUGGACUGUAACUGACACUGAGGCACGAAAGCGUGGGGAGCAAACA